GAUGAACGCUAGCUACAGGCUUAACACAUGCAAGUCGAGGGGUAACAAGAGAAAAGCUUGCUUUUCUUGUUGACGACCGGCGCACGGGUGAGUAACGCGUAUCCAACCUGCCCAUAACUAGGGAAUAACCUUGCGAAAGUAAGACUAAUACCCUAUAAUUUCCUUUGACGGCAUCUGACGAGGAAUAAAGAUUUAUCGGUUAUGGAUGGGGAUGCGUCUGAUUAGCUUGUUGGCGGGGUAACGGCCCACCAAGGCAACGAUCAGUAGGGGUUCUGAGAGGAAGGUCCCCCAAAUUGGAACUGAGACACGGUCCAAACUCCUACGGGAGGCAGCAGUGAGGAAUAUUGGUCAAUGGGCGGAAGCCUGAACCAGCCAAGUAGCGUGCAGGAUGACGGCCCUAUGGGUUGUAAACUGCUUUUAUACAGGAAUAAAGUUAGCCACGUGUGGUUACUUGUAGGUACUGUAUGAAUAAGGACCGGCUAAUUCCGUGCCAGCAGCCGCAGUAA
rnacentral:rRNA from 1 species